rnacentral:rRNA from 1 species
GACGAACGCUGGCGGCGUGCUUAACACAUGCCAGUCGAACGGAAAGGCCCUGCUUUUGUGGGGUGCUCGAGUGGCGAACGGGUGAGUAACACGUGAGUAACCUGCCCUUGACUUUGGGAUAACUUCAGGAAACUGGGGCUAAUACCGGAUAGGAGCUCCUGCUUCAUGGUGGGGGUUGGAAAGUUUCGGCGGUUGGGGAUGGAAUCGCGGCUUAUCAGCUUGUUGGUGGGGUAGUGGCUUACCAAGGCUUUGACGGGUAGCCGGCCUGAGAGGGUGACCGGCCACAUUGGGACUGAGAUACGGCCCAGACUCCUACGGGAGGCAGCAGUGGGGAAUAUGGCACAAUAGGCGGAAGCCGUAUGCAGCAACGCCGCGUGCGGGAUGACGGCCUUCGGGUUGUAAACCGCUUUCGCCUGUGACGAAGCGUGAGUGACGGUAAUGGGUAAAGAAGCACCGGCUAACUACGUG